rnacentral:rRNA from 1 species
CCUACGGGUGGCAGCAGUGGGGAAUAUUGGGCAAUGGGCGCAAGCCUGACCCAGCAACGCCGCGUGAAGGAAGAAGGCUUUCGGGUUGUAAACUUCUUUUGUCAGGGACGAAGCAAGUGACGGUACCUGACGAAUAAGCCACGGCUAACUACGUGCCAGCAGCCGCGGUAAUACGUAGGGGGCAAGCGUUAUCCGGAUUUACUGGGUGUAAAGGGCGUGUAGGCGGGAAUGUAAGUCAGAUGUGAAAACUAUGGGCUCAACCCAUAGCCUGCAUUUGAAACUGUAUGUCUUGAGUGCUGUAGAGGCAAUCGGAAUUCCGUGUGUAGCGGUGAAAUGCGUAGAUAUACGGAGGAACACCAGUGGCGAAGGCGGAUUGCUGGACAGUAACUGACGCUGAGGCGCGAAAGCGUGGGGAGCAAACAGGAUUAGAUACCCUUGUAGUC